GUGUUGCAGAUAUUUUGGGUAAAUUUGGGAGAUUUUCUUCUUAGUCAGAGUUGACGGUUUAAAGUUCUUGAUGUGUCAUGCUGGCUGUUCACUUUUAUUAGGCCCUUUUAAUUCGAGGAAAGAGAAGUGUAGGCUGUAAACAGCCUUCGGUAAUCUUGGACCAGUGAAGCCAUUCCUUCAAGCAGGACAGUUACCUCAGAACAUUUGAAGGGAACUCUUCAACAUUGGCCAUGGGGAUAAAUGCGGCAUUAAAAGUGGAAGCUAAAAAAAAAACAAGUGUUCAGCUCCAGAUUGUUCCAGCUGCACCACAGGGCCAGUUGAUCUACCUCUCGUCUAUAUGCAGACUCAUCAUCCUCCCGAAUGAGACCGAUCACUGUUCUAUCAUCUGCAAACUUCAGUACUUUAACAGAGAGAUCCUUCAAGAUGCAAUCAUUGGUAUAUAGAGAGAAGAGUAAUGAGGAAAGCGCACAGUCCUGGGAGGCUCCUGUACUAACUGAGCGGGUGUUUGAUGUGAUUUUUCCCUAGCUAAUAAUAAUGUAAUGUCUACCAUUAUAUCUAUUAAAUAACAAUUACUCACAAAUUAUCACAAGCAA